rnacentral:rRNA from 1 species
GACGAACGCUGGCGGCGUGCUUAACACAUGCAAGUCGAACGGAGAACUUUCUUCGGAAUGUUCUUAGUGGCGAACGGGUGAGUAACGCGUAGGCAACCUGCCCUCUGGUUGGGGACAACAUUCCGAAAGGGAUGCUAAUACCGAAUGUGCUCCCUUCUCCGCAUGGAGAAGGGAGGAAAGAUGGCCUCUACUUGUAAGCUAUCGCCAGAAGAUGGGCCUGCGUCUGAUUAGCUAGUAGGUGAGGUAACGGCUCACCUAGGCGAUGAUCAGUAGCCGGUCUGAGAGGAUGAACGGCCACAUUGGGACUGAGACACGGCCCAAACUCCUACGGGAGGCAGCAGUGGGGAAUCUUCCGCAAUGGACGAAAGUCUGACGGAGCAACGCCGCGUGAGUGAUGAAGGCCUUCGGGUUGUAAAACUCUGUUGUCAGGGACGAAAGCACCGAUCUAUAAUACAUUUUGGUGUUGACGGUACCUGACGAGGAAGCCACGGCUAACUACGUG